UGAAAAGUUUACCUUUUCAGCGUACAGAUUUUUUCUUACCUGGGAUAAUAGGUAGCCUUUGCUAAUUUCUAACUGGUGCUACCUGAGAAAAUAUUAAGUUUAACUGCAUGUCAAACUGCAAGGGAGGCGUCUUAAAAAUGCUUGUGUGUAGAAAAGUAUUCCAUUCAUAAAGUGUUUGUUUUCUUAAAAGGGAGAUGAACACUGGCGGUAUGGACAAAGAAUGUUGUACACUUUCCUGCUGAGAUGGAACUAAAAGCAGUCUGUGAUGAAAGGGCUGCAAGACAAUUGUUCUCUUGAUUUUGUAGUGACGGUGGUGUAUUUUGGGUGGGUUUGGUGGUUGUGGUGGGUCUCUACAGUGCAGUCGGUACUUCCGCAUUGUCAAUUGGCAGGGUAUGUGCUUUAAUAUUUUAAUUAAUCACUUGAAAUCGAAGUCCGAUUUCUGCUAUCAGGGGGAUCCUAGCAUCCCUCCUACAAGGGCUGAGGAAAGAGAUGCCUUAGAAAGCAAUCUGUUUUGUUGGUGUUGGGGGUUAAUGACUACAGCCAAAGAUAAGUGAAUUAUCAAAGCUGUUGCUCUAACUUGGUUUCAAAAUCCAUUACAUCCCCGGCAGUCUAAUUAAAUACAUCACUAGAAGGAUGUGGAUAAACAUCAGUAGCAGGAGAAGACAUGGUUUGGCACAGUGGUGCCCACAUGGAAAGAUGUGGAAAAGACACAUGAAAGGCUAAUUCAGCAUCUCCAUAGUGAAAUGUUACAACAAUUUCAGCAAAUAUAUGCCAACUUUGUGUUACUGAACAAGCUGUUCACACCAUCAUGGCUGAGGUGAAUAACAAGACAGUUCAGCUAGGAAACCUUCAGUGUGCAGAUAACUCUAGUAGGAGUAGCCUUAGCAUGCAACAACAAGUUAUUCCUCAAAGUACUGUGGACCUCCUAGACAGUAGUUAAAGUGCAGGCUCUGUGCUCCAUACACUUCACCAUCACUUUUUUCCCAGUGUCCCUGGAAUCCAGAUGGGUUAACGCUUUGCCUUUGGGUAGUGUUAAUCCUUUAUUUUCUCAUCCUGUGAAGUCAUUCAUAUGCAGUGCUCUGGCUACCUGUUUGUGGCACUAGUAUAGUGUCUCUUUUGGUCAACAUACAGUUUUAUGAUCCUGCUAUGACUGGUCACCCACAGUUUCUACCUCAUUCUCUACCUCAUGCUAUGACUAAAGAGCUGAAAAAUAUGCAGCAUUUUGGCAAACUAGGAUCCUUAAAUAUUCCCAGAAGACGGCCACAUAUGGGAAACCAGGCCAGCUAUUAAGAUUUGCUCUUGUGGGGAAGCACUGAACAUCCAGAAGGAGGGGGUACUUUAUCCCCAUUGAUGGCCUCUGAUGGAGAUUCUAUUUAAGCCUGUGCAUAUAGAACUGGAUAUUUAUGCACUUGUACACAUUUGUUUCCAUAAAAUGUUGCUGUUUAAACACA